rnacentral:tRNA from 1 species
CUCCGCUUAGCUCAGCUUGGUAGAGCAUCUGCUUUGGGAGCAGAGGGUCGGUUUGGGUUCGAAUCCCAGCGGAGACCA